UUGCUUUCUCCGCCGGCGACCGGCGCACGGGUGAGUAACACGUACGCAACCUGCCCCUGUCAGGGGGACAACCCGCCGAAAGGCGGGCUAAACCCGCGUACAUGCCACCGGGGCAUCCCGGAGGCAGGAAAGGCUUCGGCCGGACAGGGAUGGGCAUGCGGCGCAUUAGGCAGUAGGCGGGGUAACGGCCCACCUAACCGACGAUGCGUAGGGGUUCUGAGAGGAAGGUCCCCCACACUGGUACUGAGACACGGACCAGACUCCUACGGGAGGCAGCAG
rnacentral:rRNA from 1 species